GACGAACGCUGGCGGCGUGCUUAACACAUGCAAGUCGAGCGGAAAGGCCCUUCGGGGUACUCGAGCGGCGAACGGGUGAGUAACACGUGAGCAACCUGCCCUAGGCUUUGGGAUAACCCCGGGAAACCGGGGCUAAUACCGAAUAGGACCUCCGGCCGCAUGGCUGGGGGUGGAAAGUUUUUCGGCCUGGGAUGGGCUCACGGCCUAUCAGCUUGUUGGUGGGGUGAUGGCCUACCAAGGCGACGACGGGUAGCCGGCCUGAGAGGGCGACCGGCCACACUGGGACUGAGACACGGCCCAGACUCCUACGGGAGGCAGCAGUGGGGAAUAUUGCACAAUGGGCGGAAGCCUGAUGCAGCGACGCCGCGUGAGGGAUGACGGCCUUCGGGUUGUAAACCUCUUUCAGCAGGGACGAAGCGUAAGUGACGGUACCUGCAGAAGAAGCGCCGGCCAACUACGUGCCAGCAGCCGCCGUAACAC
rnacentral:rRNA from 1 species